rnacentral:snoRNA from 1 species
GGGUCAAUGAUGAAAGCUUUGCAUUGUAUAUAGAGAGCUGAUGAAUUAAAAGUCAUGCUCAACAGAAUUAUGCUUGAGUUCC